rnacentral:piRNA from 1 species
UGAAUGCUGUAUGUCUGGUGGGCUUGG